CGCGUAAGAAAACGGUCCUAGGUAAUGGUAAACUCUUUUAUACGGGAAAUAACGGGCGAUACGAGUAUUGCAUUGAAUGUACCGUAAGAAUAAGCAUCGGCUAACUCCGUGCCAGCAGCCGCGGUAAUACGGAGGAUGCGAGCGUUAUCCGGAUUUAUUGGGUUUAAAGGGUGCGUAGGUUGUUCGGUAAGUCAGCGGUGAAACCUGAGCGCUCAACGUUCAGCCCUGCCGUUGAAACUGCCGGGCUUGAGUUCAGUGGCGGCAGGCGGAAUUCGUGGUGUAGCGGUGAAAUGCAUAGAUAUCACGAGGAACUCCGAUUGCGAAGGCAGCUUGCCAUACUGCGACUGACACUGAAGCACGAAGGCGUGGGUAUCAAACAGGAUUAGAUACCCUGGUAGUCCACGCAGUAGACGAUGAUCACUAGGAGUGUGCGAUAUACCGUCAAGCUUCCACAGCGAAGCGUGAAGUAAUCCACCUGGGGAGUACGCCGGCAACGGUGAAACUCUAAGGA
rnacentral:rRNA from 1 species